CGCCCGCAGCUCCACAGUUGCCAUACAUUGUAUCUUCUGCGAGGACACAUUUUGUCCUCAGAGUCCUUCAGUUUUUAAGAAACAUUUCAUCUGAGCUAAGACCAUCACACUCUAAGGUAAUAUGUAUCUUUAUCCGCUCUUCCAUCUGGCAGUUUAAGGAAAUCUUAUUAUAAUUUCACUUAUCACAACCAGAAAACUCUGAGAUGGAGGGGGAGCAGGAGCAGGAGGAGGCGCAGGAGGAGGAGCAGGAGGAGGGGCAGCCGCCUGACACUGCCUAGAUGACCGGGAACCAAAGGUAAGCACUUCUCUAAUCUGAGUGCUAAGAGGAAACAGAAGCCUGUGAGCUUGGAAAAUGGUGCUCUGGUAUAGACUACAUGCGUGAAGCAAACCUUCAGAGCCACACAAAAGCUCCUCCCACCCAGCUGCAGCAGAUGUUAACGACCAGAGAAGAGGAGGAUGUUGGAUCUGCUUCUCUGAUCAAAAACAUUUUGCCAUUGUCUAUUGCUCUUGUUGUUGUACACUUCAACAAAAACCUCGGUCGUGAGAUUGUAAGACCUGCUGGGUUUUAGCUGAUUCUCACUGAACUAUGUUUAGCUUUGUUUUAAAGACUAUUAUGUGAAUUAAUGUUUUACAUGCAUGUAUGUAUGUGGACCACAUGAAUGUCUGAUGCCUCCAAAGGCCAGAAAAGUGUCAGAUCCCCUGGGACUAGGGGUAUAUGGUUGUGAACUGCCUUGUUGGUGCUGGGAACAAUACUUGGGUCACCUGCAAGAACAGCAAGCGCCCUUAUGCACUAAGCCGUCUCUGUGUUAU
rnacentral:lncRNA from 1 species